rnacentral:tRNA from 1 species
GAGGCAGUAGCGCAAACGGUAGUGCACCGGUCCCCAAAACCGGGGGUUGGGGGUUCGAGCCCCCCCUGCCUCG